UGCGAGUUGGAGAAGUGGUCAUCUCGACAGGCUCAUUACCUGUAGGUCGGUUGUUCGAAUCAACCACUCGCAA
rnacentral:tRNA from 2 species